GUUUUUUUUUUCCCUUUUGUUCUUCUUUUCUUUGGCCGCUUCCUUUCUUCUGCUGGUCCGAUGCAAGUUGCUUUGCAACUUCCUGCUUCUUCCUCUGUAAAUCCAUCCUCAUGCUACCAUUUCAUCUCCAUCAACCCACUUCUUCUUCUUCUUCGGUAACUCUCUACAGUUCUGGUCCCUGCAAUAGCUCUAUCCCUUGUUGUUUCCAUCCCAUCCUCUACUGCCAUCUCUUGACCUUGCCCUCUCUCUCUUUCCCUCUCUCGCCCUCACUCUCUGGCUGACCCUCUCGGAACAUAGAAAAACCAGCUCAUGCACUUCCUCUCUCUCGGUCAAAAAGCAGUACCAGCAAGUGGUAGACAGGAUUCUUCAUCAUCCUCUCUUCUCUUUCUCUCUCUCGAUCAAAGGAAAAAGAUAGCACAUACAGCCUCAUCAUCUUCGGCACUUACCCUUCAUGCCAUCAUCAUCACCAGCAUAUUCACCUUCACCUCUACUCCUUAGCCAUUCUCGACCAUGAUCUCAGUUCAUCAUCAUCUUCUUUCUCCUUCCUUUCUUAUCCUCGGCAGCUGCGUCUCUUAGAGCUCCUCAAGCUCAAACAGUUGUUGUCCCUCCUUUCCUUCCUCAGUUGUUGCUUGAGUUGUUGUCCUUGGUCUCUCUCCCUCAAGCUGUUGUUCUGUUGUCACUCCUAUGCUUCUUAUUACCUCAGCUCCUCUCCUAGUAGUUGGUGAACUGCUAUCCUCGAGCUCACGGACCACAGAGUUGCUUUGUUGCUGUGCUUUCCCUCGAGAUCCUUAUUGAGCUGUCGAGCUGCUGUGCUUCCCGUCCCAAGGCUGCCGAGCUACAGUGCUUCGUCCAUGAGGUCGUCGAGUUAACUCGAUCCGUUGCUGCUUCUCCUCGAUCACCUUCCUAUCGUUGCUAUCGGUUCCUAAGUUGUCCUCAUCGAGGUCCCCGAGCUAAGUCUUUUGCUUUUCUUCUCUCUUGUUCACACUAUUUUUGUUUUCUCUUUCUGCCGGUUGCGUUUCUGUUUUACUGCUCUUUCCCCUACCUUUUGCUGGUUGGAGUUUCCCCUCUUAUGGUUAGAAAUGGCUUUAGGACGACCUCCUGAGCCCACGAUAGCUCUUGAGCUACCAACACUGCAGCAUCGAGCCUUGAGUGGCUCCUCUUGGACUUAGCCACGUUCAUCCCCAAUCCUUAGAGAGAGUUAGAGUGAAGAGAAGAAAGUUGGAGAGACAAGAAGAUAGUAGGCCAAUGCUGGUGGGGCUCGAAGAUGACGUGGAGACUUACCUAGGCUUAGGUGGAUUCCUGACUUGAAGGCCGCCUUGGUCCUCAGUAAUCAAGGAUCUCCCGAGCUAGCUCAUCUCGAGAAUCUCUUGUGAUUAAGUAUAAAUCUCUACCUUAGUAUCACGAGAUAGGUCUUUCGAUGUUUGAUGAGUGGAUUCGAUGAGCUUGAUAUGAUUGUUUGCCAAUGAUUCGUAUGUUUUGAAGUGCUCAUCGCUUUUAAUUAAAACUCCGCACGAAUUCAGAUUGA